rnacentral:rRNA from 1 species
UACGUAGGGCGCAAGCGUUGUCCGGAAUUAUUGGGCGUAAAGAGCUCGUAGGCGGUUUGUCGCGUCUGUCGUGAAAGCUUGGGGCUUAACCCCAAGUCUGCGGUGGAUACGGGCAGACUAGAGGCAGGUAGGGGAGAACGGAAUUCCAGGUGUAGCGGUGAAAUGCGUAGAUAUCUGGAGGAAUACCGGUGGCGAAGGCGGCAUCCUGGACCGACAUUGACGCUGAUGAGCGAAAGCUAGGGGAGCAAACGGG